CCUACUAUGGCGUGUUUUAAAUGAAUUGGUAUGAAUUUAAAAGCAGCUGUGAACCAGAAGACUGUAGCCAAGACAACACUGGUCCACACCCGCCAUGUCUGUCGUGUAGUACUAUAUGUGCCUUUAGGUUCCUUUCUAUGUGUAGGCUAUUGUACUAGUCUGUGUGGUACAGUCUUUCAUAUGUGUUGUAGUUUGUCUCAACUUUGAAUUCAAUCUAAGCCUUAGAUUGUUAACUUCCUCCAUUUUGUACUUAAAGACAUUCAAGCAGCUCUUUGUUGAGCAAGUUUCCAAUGGUCCCAGUACUGGUUGAUGUGCAGGGCUAAGUGACCACACACGCUCAAAUGGACCUACAGCUGGGGCAAUAACAUGUACCUACAGUGAAUGGCCAGCCACACAGGAGGGUGAUUUUCAUGAAGGAAAGGGAGGCCGGUCUGACCGAGAUGCAUGCUGGCCAUUUCGGAGUGAAACGCAUGUUUGCCAAAAUCAACCUAUGCUUCUUCUGCCAAUGAUGUGGACAGCUGGGCAAGACCAUUGACUGUCCGAGCCACCCAGGAGGUAUCCCAUCCACCAGAACCAGCGGGUUCGGGUCAGUCUGAUUCUCUGUGCUCUGAGUUGGAGGGGGACCAGCUUCAGG